AAAAGAAAAGAAAACAGCACUGCAUUGAAAUACAAUAACAUGAAAGAAAAAAGAAGAGGAAAAAAAACAAAACAAAACAAAAAAACAAUAGCACCUCAAUCACUCGUCCGCACCAGUCACGUUGCAUCAUGGGAUUAUUUGACUUGCGUAGCAGUACGCCAUCCGGGUAUUUCUCGCCUACUGAGAAUUCGGAUACACUACACCUCUGACAUGGCCACUAUAUAGUAGAGCUGGGCAGUUUUCAUCAGACUUCUUCACAGAUCCAAACGUUUUGCCUCUUCUUAUGGCUGGUCGACACACUGGUUUCCCUCAUUGGACUUUGUAAUUUACAGGUUUCCCUUUGACAGUUUUUUCCUCUUAAAAUGUUAACACACUGUUAAAAAAAAUGUACAGUGUACAGUGCCCUCCACUAAUAUUGGCACCCUUGGUAAAUAUGAACAAAGAAGGCUGUGAACAAUUGUCUUUAUUGUUUAACUUUUUGAUCUUUUGUUAAAAAAAAUCCUCUCAUGGAUAUCAAACAAUUGCAAAUGAAACAAGGUUAUAAAAAUAUUUGUUAAAUAUAGAUUUUUAAAAAAAAAUGUUUAUAUUUAUGAAAGAUUUUGAUAUUGUUUUACAUUCACAGGAUCACCACAAGACUAAAACUGAC
ensembl:lncRNA